rnacentral:lncRNA from 1 species
GCGUCUAGCUAUAGCAUCUUAUUAUUAGUGGUAGUAAUACAGAUAAUUUACUUUACACACCCUUACUUACAUACGGAGUACUAAACUAAAUUAAUUCAUGUAGAUAGCUGCCCAUGCAUGGGAUGGGACUGACGACUAACUAAUAAAACUAAAUUUAAGGAAGCAUGCAGCAGGAGAACAAAUCAAUGGCGAAUGAACCAAGUGGAGUAACCAGGCAGCCUCUUCCGGCUGAUCGAGCUCGCCGGCGACGACCUACGGACAGAACUGAACAGAUAUAUAUUUUGCUUCUGGUCGAUGGCAGCUCAAUUAAGCUGCAGCGUCGACGAAGCUGGCGGAGGCGUGGAACCUGGCGAUGAACUCCGUGGCCUUCCUGUCCACGUCCCGC